rnacentral:rRNA from 1 species
CCUACGGGAGGCAGCAGUGGGGAAUAUUGCACAACGGGGGAAACCCUGAUGCAGCAACGCCGCGUGAGUGAAGAAGUACUUCGGUAUGUAAAGCUCUGUCAGCAGGGAAGAAAAUGACGGUACCUGACCAAGAAGCCCCGGCUAACUACGUGCCAGCAGCCGCGGUAAUACGUAGGGGGCAAGCGUUAUCCGGAUUUACUGGGGGUAAAGGGAGCGUAGACGGCAAGGCAAGUCUGGAGUGAAAGGCCGUGGCUAAACCACGGGACUGCUUUGGAAACUGUGUUGCUGGAGUGCAGGAGGGGUAAGCGGAAUUCGUAGUGUAGCGGUGAAAUGCGUAGAUAUUAGGAAGAACACCGAGUGCGAAGGCAGUUCACUGGACUGUAACUGACGGUGAGGCUCGAAGGCGUGGGGAUCAAACAGGAUUAGAUACCCGUGUAGUC